UAGGGAAUCUUCCACAAUGGACGCAAGUCUGAUGGAGCAACGCCGCGUGAGUGAAGAAGGUUUUCGGAUCGUAAAGCUCUGUUGUUGGUGAAGAAGGAUAGAGGCAGUAACUGGUCUUUAUUUGACGGUAAUCAACCAGAAAGUCACGGCUAACUACGUGCCAGCAGCCGCGGUAAUACGUAGGUGGCAAGCGUUGUCCGGAUUUAUUGGGCGUAAAGCGAGCGCAGGCGGAAUGAUAAGUCUGAUGUGAAAGCCCACGGCUCAACCGUGGAACUGCAUCGGAAACUGUCAUUCUUGAGUGCAGAAGAGGAGAGUGGAAUUCCAGGUGUAGCGGUGGAAUGCGUAGAUAUAUGGAAGAACACCAGUGGCGAAGGCGGCUCUCUGGUCUGCAACUGACGCUGAGGCUCGAAAGCAUGGGUAGCGAACAGG
rnacentral:rRNA from 2 species